rnacentral:rRNA from 1 species
CCUACGGGCUGCACCAGUGGGGAAUAUUGCACAAUGGGCGCAAGCCUGAUGCAGCCAUGCCGCGUGUAUGAAGAAGGCCUUCGGGUUGUAAAGCACUUUCAGUAGGGAGGAAGGUAGUGUAGUUAACACCUGCAUUAUUCGACGUUACCUACAGAAGAAGCACCGGCUAACUCCGUGCCAGCAGCCGCGGUAAUACGGAGGGUGCGAGCGUUAAUCGGAAUUACUGGGCGUAAAGCGCAUGCAGGCGGCCUGUUAAGUCAGAUGUGAAAGCCCGGGGCUUAACCUCGGAAUUGCAUUUGAAACUGGCAGGCUAGAGUCUUGUAGAGGGGGGUAGAAUUUCAGGUGUAGCGGUGAAAUGCGUAGAGAUCUGAAGGAAUACCAGUGGCGAAGGCGGCCCCCUGGACAAAGACUGACGCUCAGUUGCGAAAGCGUGGGGAGCAAACAGGAUUAGAUACCCCCGUAGUC